UACAUGGGGUGCAAACGUUGCUCGGAAUUAUUGGGCGUAAAGCGCGCGUAGGCGGUUACUUAAGUCGGAUGUGAAAGCCCUCGGCUUAACUGAGGAAGUGCACCCGAAACUGAGUAGCUAGAGUACGAAAGAGGGUCGCGGAAUUCCCGGUGUAGAGGUGAAAUUCGUAGAUAUCGGAAGGAACAUCAGUGGCGAAAGCGACUUCCUGGACCAGUACCGACGUUCAGGCACGAAAGCGUGGGGAGCAAACAGG
rnacentral:rRNA from 1 species